rnacentral:rRNA from 1 species
ACGUUAAUCGGGGCAGGGUGAGUCGACCCCUAAGGCGAGGCCGAAAGGCGUAGUCGAUGGGAAACGGGUUAAUAUUCCCGUACUUGGUGUUACUGCGAAGGGGGGACGGAGAAGGCUAUGUUGGCCGGGCGACGGUUGUCCCGGUUUAAGCGUGUAGGUGUGUGUUCCAGGUAAAUCCGGUUCACUUUAACACUGAGGCGUGACGACGAGGCACUACGGUGCUGAAGCAACAAAUGCCCUGCUUCCAGGAAAAGCCUCUAAGCAUCAGGUAACAUCAAAUCGUACCCCAAACCGACACAGGUGGUCAGGUAGAGAAUACCAAGGCGCUUGAGAGAACUCGGGUGAAGGAACUAGGCAAAAUGGUGCCGUAACUUCGGGAGAAGGCACGCUGACACGUAGGUGAAGUGAUUUACUCAUGGAGCUGAAGUCAGUCGAAGAUACCAGCUGGCUGCAACUGUUUAUUAAAAACACAGCACUGUGCAAACACGAAAGUGGACGUAUACGGUGUGACGCCUGCCCGGUGCCGGAAGGUUAAUUGAUGGGGUCAGCGCAAGCGAAGCUCCUGAUCGAAGCCCCGGUAAACGGCGGCCGUAACUAUAACGGUCCUAAGGUAGCGAAAUUCCUUGUCGGGUAAGUUCCGACCUGCACGAAUGGCGUAAUGAUGGCCAGGCUGUCUCCACCCGAGACUCAGUGAAAUUGAACUCGCUGUGAAGAUGCAGUGUACCCGCGGCAAGACGGAAAGACCCCGUGAACCUUUACUAUAGCUUGACACUGAACAUUGAGCCUUGAUGUGUAGGAUAGGUGGGAGGCUUUGAAGUGUGGACGCCAGUCUGCAUGGAGCCGACCUUGAAAUACCACCCUUUAAUGUUUGAUGUUCUAACGUGGACCCGUAAUCCGGGUUGCGGACAGUGUCUGGUGGGUAGUUUGACUGGGGCGGUCUCCUCCUAAAGAGUAACGGAGGAGCACGAAGGUUGGCUAAUCCUGGUCGGACAUCAGGAGGUUAGUGCAAUGGCAUAAGCCAGCUUGACUGCGAGCGUGACGGCGCGAGCAGGUGCGAAAGCAGGUCAUAGUGAUCCGGUGGUUCUGAAUGGAAGGGCCAUCGCUCAACGGAUAAAAGGUACUCCGGGGAUAACAGGCUGAUACCGCCCAAGAGUUCAUAUCGACGGCGGUGUUUGGCACCUCGAUGUCGGCUCAUCACAUCCUGGGGCUGAAGUAGGUCCCAAGGGUAUGGCUGUUCGCCAUUUAAAGUGGUACGCGAGCUGGGUUUAGAACGUCGUGAGACAGUUCGGUCCCUAUCUGCCGUGGGCGCUGGAGAACUGAGGGGGGCUGCUCCUAGUACGAGAGGACCGGAGUGGACGCAUCACUGGUGUUCGGGUUGUCAUGCCAAUGGCACUGCCCGGUAGCUAAAUGCGGAAGAGAUAAGUGCUGAAAGCAUCUAAGCACGAAACUUGCCCCGAGAUGAGUUCUCCCUGAGACUU